rnacentral:rRNA from 1 species
GACGAACGCUGGCGGCGUGCCUAAUACAUGCAAGUAGAACGCUGAAGGAGGAGCUUGCUUCUCCGGAUGAGUUGCGAACGGGUGAGUAACGCGUAGGUAACCUGCCUGGUAGCGGGGGAUAACUAUUGGAAACGAUAGCUAAUACCGCAUAACAGUAGAUAUUGCAUGAUAUCUGCUUGAAAGGUGCAAUUGCAUCACUACCAGAUGGACCUGCGUUGUAUUAGCUAGUUGGUGAGGUAACGGCUCACCAAGGCGACGAUACAUAGCCGACCUGAGAGGGUGAUCGGCCACAAUGGAACUGAGACACGGCCAAGACUCCUAGGGGAGGCAGCAGGAGGGAAUUUUAGACAAUGGGCGGAAGUCGUCCCGAGCAACGCCGCGGGAGUGAAGAAGGUUUUCGGAUCGUAAAGCCCUUUUGUAAGAAAAAAAGGGGUGGGGGGGUGGAAAGUUCACACUGGGCGGGUAUCUAAACAGAAGGGGCCGGCUACUUCCGG